rnacentral:sRNA from 1 species
AGCAGCCGCGGUAAUUCCAGCUCCAAUAGCGUAUAUUAAAGUUGUUGCAGUUAAAAAGCUCGUAGUUGAAUUUCGGGACCAGUAUGUUGGUCGUGCUUCGGUACGUACUGUCAUUACCGGUUCCUACCUUCUGAAGAACCGCGAUGUCAUUAAUUUGGUGUCGUGGGGAAUCAGGACUGUUACUUUGAAAAAAUUAGAGUGUUUAAAGCAGGCUCGCGCUUGAAUACAUUAGCAUGGAAUAAUGAAAUAGGACGUUUGAUUCUAUUUUGUUGGUUUCUAGGAUCGACGUAAUGAUUAAUAGGGAUAGUUGGGGGCAUUAGUAUUCAAUUGUCAGAGGUGAAAUUCUUGGAUUUAUUGAAGACUAACUACUGCGAAAGCAUUUGCCAAGGAUGUUUUCAUUAAUCAAGAACGAAAGUUAGGGGAUCGAAGACGAUCAGAUACCGUCGUAGUCUUAACCAUAAACUAUGCCGACUAGGGAUCGGAUGAUGUUAUUUUUGAUGACUCAUUCGGCGCCUUACGG